rnacentral:rRNA from 1 species
UACGUAGGGUGCGAGCGUUAAUCGGAAUUACUGGGCGUAAAGUGUGCGCAGGCGGCCGAGCAAGUCGAGUGUGAAAGCCCCGAGCUUAACUUGGGAACUGCGCUCGAAACUACUUGGCUAGAGUGUGGCAGAGGGAGGUGGAAUUCCACGUGUAGCAGUGAAAUGCGUAGAGAUGUGGAGGAACACCGAUGGCGAAGGCAGCCUCCUGGGCCAGCACUGACGCUCAUGCACGAAAGCGUGGGGAGCAAACAGG